rnacentral:rRNA from 1 species
CACGUAGUUAGCCGGUGCUUAUUCUUACGGUACCGUCAUCAGUUCCCUGUAUUAAAAGAAACCUUUUCGUUCCGUACAAAAGCAGUUUACAACCCGAAGGCCUUCAUCCUGCACGCGGCAUGGCUGGAUCAGGCUUGCGCCCAUUGUCCAAAAUUCCCCACUGCUGCCUCCCGUAGGAGUCUGGGCCGUGUCUCAGUCCCAGUGUGGCUGGUCGUCCUCUCAGACCAGCUACAGAUCGUCGGCUUGGUAGGCCUUUACCCCACCAACUACCUAAUCUGCCAUCGGCCGCUCCGUCCGCGCGAGGUCUUGCGAUCCCCCGGCUUUCAUCCGUAGAUCGUAUGCGGUAUUAGCACAGCUUUCGCUGCGUUAUCCCCCACGAUCGGGCACGUUCCGAUGUAUUACUCACCCGUUCGCCACUCGUCAGCACCUUGCGGCCUGUUACCGUUCGACUUGCAUGUGUAAGGCAUGCCGCCAGCGUUCAAUCUGAGCCAGGAUCAAACUCU